GAAAAUAGACUAAACAUUUAUAUUUUUGUACACCGAUCAUUCUAAUCCUCCAUUUUAAUCCAAGUCCGUUUGACUGAAAUAUUCCGUGUUACUAUUAGAAUUAAAUACAACGCAUACCCUAAAAGAGGAGGGGCUACAUAGCUUAAGCAUUUUACUGUAUAAUAUAUCAGUGGCGUAUUUAUGAGGGAGAAUGGGAAAUUAGGAAGAUAUAUCUACACCCACAACCUUUUUUCAGUAUAUAUUAUUUAUGUAACCACCUAAUUUUAAAUUUAAAUUUCUUUAUAUUUUAGUCAGAAAAAUCAACAAUUUAAUGUGUUUGUACAUA